rnacentral:rRNA from 1 species
UGGGGAAUAUUGCGCAAUGGGGGAAACCCUGACGCAGCAACGCCGCGUGAAGGAUGAAGGUCUUCGGAUUGUAAACUUCUUUGAUGAGGGACGAAGAAAUGACGGUACCUCAAAAACAAGCCACGGCUAACUACGUGCCAGCAGCCGCGGUAAUACGUAGGUGGCAAGCGUUGUCCGGAUUUACUGGGUGUAAAGGGCGUGUAGGCGGGAAUGCAAGUCAGAUGUGAAAUUCCGGGGCUCAACCCCGGGGCUGCAUCUGAAACUGUGUUUCUUGAGUGCUGGAGAGGAAAGCGGAAUUCCUAGUGUAGCGGUGAAAUGCGUAGAUAUUAGGAGGAACACCAGUGGCGAAGGCGGCUUUCUGGACAGUAACUGACGCUGAGGCGCGAAAGCGUGGGGAGCAAACAGG